GAGAGAGAGAGAGAGAGAGAGAGAGAGAGAGUGAGGGAGGGAGGGAAUCAUUUUCCUGACUGAUGCAUUUUAAUUAUUGACUCCCUCUUGGGAAGCAGAGGAUUCCCCCUUCCUCCCUCCGCCCCAAUCUCUCUCUCUCUUUCUCUCUCUCUCUCUC
rnacentral:miRNA from 1 species